rnacentral:rRNA from 1 species
UACAGAGGUCUCAAGCGUUGUUCGGAUUCAUUGGGCGUAAAGGGUGCGUAGGUGGCGCCAUAAGUCAGGUGUGAAAUCUCGGGGCCUCAACCCCGAAACUGCACUUGAUACUGUGGUGCUCGAGUACUGGAGAGGAGAUUGGAAUUUACGGUGUAGCAGUGAAAUGCGUAGAUAUCGUAAGGAAGACCAGUGGCGAAGGCGAAUCUCUGGACAGUUACUGACACUGAGGCACGAAGGCCAGGGGAGCAAACGGG